CGCUGGAUGACGUAGUUAGUCUGCGCGUCUCCCUGAAGAGGAGAAGGUCUUGGUGCAAUUCCAAGUCCAGCGGCCA
rnacentral:tRNA from 1 species